rnacentral:sRNA from 1 species
GCCGGGCGUGGUGACACAUGCCUGUAGUCCCAGCUACCUGGGAGGCUGAGGUGAGAGAAUCACUUGAGCCCAGGAGGUCAAGGCUGCAGUGAGCUAAGAUCCCGCCACUGCACUCUAGCCUGGGCGACAGAGCGAGACUCCGUCUCAA